GACACAGGGAGGGGAGAAUCAUACACUGGGGUCUACAGUGUUAAAUCUUAAGAAUGCUACUUUCAUUUAACAAUUCUUGAGUCAGACAAAGGUGUUUUAAGAGCAGUAUUACAAAUUAUUUCCUUG